rnacentral:lncRNA from 1 species
UUUGAAACACUAAUUCGGGUAAGGAUCCUUCAUUCUAUUCUUAGUUACAGUAAAUUGAUGAUUAAUAAUUGAUAAUUAUGUAUUUUGUAAAAAAUUCUAAAAAUUCUAAAAAUAUUACAGGUCACUAGUGGAGUCGGAACUGGUUAGUUCACAUUUAUCAUAAUUUUCUGUUUAUUUUUCUGUAUUGCCUAUAUUUCCUUACUAUUAUACUGUGCAUAAUUAAAUUAAUGAUCUUUUAUGGUCUUUUCGGUUAUUUGAUUAUUUGGUUCUUCUUGCAUUAUUUAUUCGGUAUUCUGGUUAUUGGUUACUUGGCUAUGCCAAAUUAUAAUGCUUGUUUAAGUGCCAUUUGAAUUAAUAUGUGAAUAUAAAAUGAAAUGUUGAUAUGUUUUAGUGGUUGUUUGGAGGAUGAGAGUCUAAAUAAAUGGAAGUUUAUUGGACAUCCUAGGAAAUGGUGGAUGGAUCCGGUACAUAAAAAAUCCUACCAUGAACAUUACCUCAGUCGAACGGGGCUAAUAAGUCCCAUACCGGAAAGAUUCUAGGAUAUAUAGUUCUCUCUCGUACCGAAUAUGGUAUUGGGACGGCCAAGUCACUUGACAAAUCUUUAAGUAGAGAGAUAUCCCUAUGGACCUCAAGAGGUCCUAGUAAGUAGGUUAAAAAGGAAGGAUUGUUGAUCUUAUACAUGAAAUUGAAAUGUCAUUUAGUUAAUUAUAUUCAUAGGUUGAUUUUUAAAAAAACUGUAAUGGUAAGUAUCAAAUAAAAAAUUUUGAAGUUAAAUAUAUUUAUUUAAAGUAAUGGCUCUAUUAAUUAUUUUUUUAUUUUUACUAACAUUCAAUUUUCCGUAUUAGUGAUUAGUAUGAUAUUCUUAUUGGCUUAAUGUAACUCACCAUUUUAUUAGUCAUUUCAGAUCAAGAAAACCAAGAUCCAAAUCCCAAUCAGCAAGAGGAUUGUGAGUAGUUCACAUUCUGGACUCCCUUCAAGUGCUAGUAAAUGUUGCUCUGAGAUAUUUAUUUAUUCGUUUUUUUUAAUUACCAUUUAUCUUUUAUGAACCACAUAGAAGGGACAUUCCCAUAUAUUAGGCAAUUCAAUUUAUUAUAUAAGGAAUGUUAACCCUAAAAUUAUAAUUCGCUUCCGCAUUUAAAUUAUAAAUUCACUUCUUUUAAGAUUCCGACCCUUUACAUCAUAUGUUUGACGUGAUUUUACAAAAUUUGAGGUAAUAACAGUUCUGGGUGAUUCCUACUUCCCAACCAUAUCACCUUCGUAACCAGUGAUCCUCCGUACGUAAUAACCUACCCCUUGUGUCGUCUCGGAGUAACCUAUUUACCAAUAUAGACUUAUGGUGUGAAUUUGCUUUGAGGGAGUCAUCCCAUUCCGAUUUGAGAGACCCCAUGCCUGGGUGGAUGUGAAGUUUGUAGUAGCUCUCAAAAUACCCAAGUCGACCACAUAUGUAAUGGUAGGUUGAGAGCCUUUCAUAUUUGAAAAUGACAUAGAUCGCCAUACCAUUCCGUGGGAUUAGUUUCUUCAUUCGGAAUAAAGGAUUGUAUACGUCUAUAACAACUCGAAUGCUCAUGUAUUCUAUGUUAUUUGUAUUUGUCUGUUUCGUGUCAUAGUCUAUAAAUUAUCCUAAGAAGCCUCUAAACUAUUUUGCCAUGGAUUCCAAUAUAUAGCUAGCUGAGAGAUCAUGGACUUUGAUCCAAAAAUGGUAGUGAUAUAGAGACACUUUGAGCAAGUCCUUCCCAUAUUGCAUUUAAUGCACCACGAGGAGAUGAUGGUUGAAAGUCCACGGACCUCCAUUAAUGACUUGUUGAAUGUCUAUUUCGUAGAAGAACUGGAACAGAUAGCGAUUAGAGCCUGGAUCUUUGAUGUUUAACUCUUCCUAUGGGCUGUCAGACGUUCGACAAUGUAUUCUGCAUGAGUUUGAACUUUAUAAUUGCCUCAAUGAAAAAAUGCCUAACUAGGCAAAAAUCAUAAGACUCUUGAUUGUCUGGGAGGAUAUUCGUAAUAUCCUAGCCCUUGUCCCUAGUGUUCGUUAUGGUGAACGCGACUAGUGUUAUCACCUCGACCAUUGUUGACCAAAUGGUAGCCACUGAGUUCAGAUAAAGCAACGUGCCAAUAGGUAGGCCUAAAGAGAAAACUUGCCAAUAGGCAGAUUAUUACUUUAUUAUAUCAACAAUUUUAAAUUUGUCUUACAUAAUAAAUAAAUCAAAAUUUUGUAGAAGCUCAUUAUAAAAUAUAUUAAAUAUUUAUUAAUAAUCAAAAUCAAUCAUUUAGAUUUAAUAAUAACAUUUUUUAUUUAAUUAGACAAUUAUAUUUAAUAUUUUAUUACCGUAUUUGAAGUCAAUCGGAUCAUUAAUAUUAUACUACGAUAAUUUUGUUUUAAUUUAGGUAAAAUUUCAAUUAAAUAUUUAUUAGAGUCUUUUAUCAAAGUAAUUUUGAUUAAAUAUUAAUUUAUUAAAAAUUAUAUUAAAAUGAUAUGCGGUAGAUAAUCUAAUAAAUAUAUAAAUAAGCAGUCAAAAAGUUAAAUUAUCGAUAUCAGGAUCUUGCCCUUUCAUCAGCUCCUCGCCUCCACCGUUCUUUCGCUCUUAAAAACUUUCCUUGUUGUCUAUUGGUCUCUCCGCGCCAUCACCAUUUUCUUUCUUUCUUCUCUUAUUCUCUCCUUCUGCUCUUCUAUUUUGCUUCCCUCCUCUUUCUCGAAUCUCGCCUCAGCUAUCCUCUACGACAUGCUGCUAAGCAGGCAACUUACAAGAAUUAACAGUCUGAGUUGAAGAAGAAGCUUAUGUGUUUUCCCAUUGGGUAACCCUACUCUACCAAGUAUGAAAAAGUUAAAUUAUUUGGUUGAGAAAGAUGUCGAAUGUUCAAAUGUUUUUCUAAGAAAAUUUUAUAAUACUGCCUAAUUGAAUUAAUUUUUUAUUCUAAUCACUCUGCUCUCCGUUCUCUAAUUCACAAUGCAACCAAGCGCUCUUCCCUUUAUCUUUAUUGGUCUACUACUAGUCUUCUUCAAGUGUGAUCUUCAUGUUAUAUUCUUGGUCUAUUGAUUGACAAGACAAGUCUAUUCCGGUCUAAGACCAGCAAUUCCAGCUCGCUUAAUCAAAAUAUCCUCAUUUAGGUUUUACCUCCCCUUUGUUUAUCUGAUAUAUUUUCAGUUUCCAUAUAGAAACAUCGUUACGAUGAAUUAUUGUAGUGUUUAGCUCUGCAUCUGCAGGGACCUCAAUUUCUCAGUUAUCUAAAUUUAGCUCCAUCCCACCCUGCUUCAUUUUCGCUGCUUUUAUUGGCACUGAAUUGAAUUAGUUUACAUGGUACUGGUUAUUUAUUUUGAUUUUUUUUUUAUAGUUGUGAACAACUAGUUUAAUAGCUAACCAAUGCGAAGAGGAGGAAGGACAUUAGUUAUCAAAUGAUCAUAAUUAGAUAUUAGCUUCUGCUUUUGCAAUAUAAUUCAAUUAUGUUCUUUUUCUGAGCAGCAAGGUCGCUGAAGGCAUUAGAGUAGAAGCUGUCGGUUGACUUGUCUACACCACUUAGAUCCAUUUUUUAAGAAAAAUGGGAAGCAACAGUAAUCUGCAGACUUGGGUAUCUGACAAAUUAAUCUCAUUGCUGGGAUAUUCGCAGGCCACAGUUGUUCAAUAUGUUAUAGGACUAGGUGAAUUCCUAUUACCCUUGUUUAUUUCAUGUUCAUAUCUUUUACUUCACUUGUGCGUGCAUAUGCACUUGUUUAUGAAACGGAAGCACAUAAUGUCUGAUACAAGGAAUGAUUCCAUUAUUGCAGCGAAGCGAGCAACAUCACCUGCUGAUAUUUUGGGUGAGCUAGAGAAUCUCGGUUUGUCUUCAUCAAGUGAUACUCGAGCAUUUGCUGAAGAGAUAUUUUCUAGAGUUCCCCAUAGAACUGCUGGUGUUAAUGUGAGUUCUUAGAUUGUGAAUGCACAACUUACUUGGUUGGCAAGCUGGUGCUGAUUUUGUGGACUCCCACUUUUACACUUUUACACUUUUUGGUGCCUUUGGUACAUAAGAUUAUUGAUAGGAUGGAAUGAGAUAGAACGAGAUAUUUUGUAUCCACUUCUUUCCUCAAUGAAAAAUUCAGGUUCCUUCACUCUUAUGUUUGGUAUAAAAUGAUUUAGGAGAUAAGCUUAGUUUUUCUUCUGUUUUGUCUAAGAUACACAUAACUUAGAGAAAGAUAAAUGACACUUCUAUUUAAUUUUUUUUCUUAUGUUAUUUGUCACCUUUUUGGACAAUAAAAGAGACAUGGUAUUUUCUUUUCACCUUUUUCGAUGUAGUAUUUUUCUUUGUCAAUUACAACCCCUGGUGUCCUUCUGAGCUAAUACAUAUACUUCUCCCUGCCCUUGAUUUUUUGGUGUUAAUCUCAGCUUUACCUACAACGAGAAAUUGAAGCUGCAACGUUGGCAAGGAAGCAGAAGACUUAUACACUUCUUGAUGCUGAUNNNNNNNNNNNNNNNNNNNNNNNNNNNNNNNNNNNNNNNNNNNNNNNNNNNNNNNNNNNNNNNNNNNNNNNNNNNNNNNNNNNNNNNNNNNNNNNNNNNNNNNNNNNNNNNNNNNNNNNNNNNNNNNNNNNNNNNNNNNNNNNNNNNNNNNNNNNNNNNNNNAUGCUGCUCGGACACGAAAAGUAUGCAUCUAAACUGUUAUUUCUUCAAUUUUGUAGUGCUGAAAUAUUUGGUCUUCUUGGACUCUGCAUUCUGUCCUGUGUUGAAUAUCCUUGCAUAAUCUUUCACACAUGUGCAUAUAAAUAUGUGCAUAAAGGAGCAUCUACUUAGCUUAAUGACAUGAACUUCUGGGUUUAAAGCAAGCGACCUUUGAAUAUUAGAAUCAUGUGGAUGUUGCCAUUAGUAUGAUGUUUCAACAAACAUUUUCUUUUUUCGCAAAAAAAAAAAAAGAAAAGUGUGCAACUGAAAAUGAUUAUGAAUAUAGCCUAGCAGAAGCCUGUCAUUGGGAUGGUCUAGAUCAAAUAUUCUAUUAUAACAUUCUCUAUAUCUGUUUCAUAGUUUACUUUCAAUUUCAGUAUUGUAGUAUCUACAUACAUGUAUAUGCAUUGAAUGCUUAACAUGAAGAGACCGUUUUUGCAGCAUGUUUUCCUGGUACAUGGGUCAACAUUACACAUUUGAAAUGGAUAUUUCUUCCAUAUGUAGGUGUUUUCUUCUCGUUUGAUUCAUGUUUCACUGAAAUCUUCAUUCUCCUGAAUUUUUGACAAACAGUUAACUGAGCCCAAACUUUCACAGAAGGAGGAAGGUAUAGAAGUUUAAACUUUAUGCAUCUACUUGCAAGGAAUAAUAUGUUAUUGGACACAUGAGAUAUCUUCUCACCUAUAUAUAUUGUAAAACAGAAGAGGCUAUUCGGAGAGCAAAGGCUUUGGAGCAUGAUGAUCUUGAAUCGUUAAGGUUUGUGCUUGCUUAAAUUGUGAUUUCAAUAACAAUAUCUAGAUGUAUAAAGAAGUGUGGGGUUUUGACAUUUAAUGUGAGAAUAUAUUAUUCCUCACAAAAUGCACAAGAAAUGUAUCUACCAUUUUUUUCCUUCCAUUUGCUGGACGAGGUGGCUUUUCUGGUGGCCUUGAGUAUAGUGUGCCAAUAGUUGAAAAAAAUGAAAUACUUCUGAAUUAGCUGCUGGGAUGGGACAAAUGAAAGCUGAGAAAUGCGGACAUGAUUGCUUUCUGUGACUUCAUAUGAUUUUAGCUAAUUUUCCUUUAUUGUUUUUCCGCUCAUAUUGACCUGUUCAUAUAAUUCGUAAUAAUGUUACACCAAUAUUAAUGAAUGCCUCCGUUGCUUUUGUACUGUUUGUGAUAAAAAUUCCACUUUUUAUUUAUUAUGUAUUAGAGUUCCCUCCUUGGUUUAGAAUAUAUUCUGUAAGUUGUUUAAAUUCUGUGAAAUUUAGGAUGAAACUGAAGGAAGAGAGCAUAAAUAGUAGUAAUGUUUUCUUGAUAAACAAGUAGUUAUUGAAUAUAGAAAAUAAUCAUUUUUUCUGAAAAAAAGAUACAACAUAGAAUCCUGUAAGGAGAUAGACUGAUGCUCACUGAACGUACAUGGUCGAUGUUCCUAUUUAUUACCUGUUUUUGCUAAUAAUUUCAGUGAGUGUGGCGAAGCAAUCGGAUGCUAUCCAAUGUAGAUUUUUAUGGGAAAACUCGGAGGAUAAAAGGAGCUAUCACCUAGUGGGGUGGCAGGGGGUCCAGGAGCCUUUUAACAGGGGGUUUUAGAUAUCAAAUCCCUUGUUGAAUUCAACAAAGCUUUGCUGGGAAAUGACUAAGGAGAUUCAUGAGAGAGAGAUAUAUAAUUUUGUGGUGGAGAGUGAUUAAAGCCCAAGUUUUGCAUUUAACAGUGUGGUUUGGUACUCAAGAAUUUCAAGGUAGUGAUCCCGGUCUUGGCCUUUGGAAGAGGAUUGGCUUAGGAAGAGAGGAGUUCCGGAAUUGUAACGCUUGAAAGAUUGGGUCAGGUCAGAAAGUGAGAUUCAGGUUGAAUGAAUGGCUUGAGCAGCAUUCUUGGAUCAAUGCUUUCCCACUAUCUUUGUGUUGGCCCUUAACGAGGAGGUCAAGGUGGCAAGUUCCUUCUCCAACCCCUCAGGUAGUGGAGUUUAGGUGGUGAACUUGACGAGGAACCUCAAUAAUUGGGAGACAAACGAGUACAUGAAUUUGAUGCAAUUAUUAUUUGCUCAUGCAGGCCCUUCAGAAACCUUGGAUGAGCCUAUAUGGAAGAUUAGUGCAGGAGGUGCCUUAUCAGUGAACUCUUAUUAUGCCUUCUUGAUGGGGAAUGGUAGGCAAGAUGAAGAUUUCCCGUAGAAUUUAAUUUGGAAGAUUAUGGUAUCUGCAAGAGUGGCUUUUUUUGCUUGAAAGGCGGUUAGGAGCUGCAAUUUAACCCUAGACAACCUCAUUAGGAGAGGAAAAGUCAUUGUAAAUGGGUGCUAUAUGUGCAAAGGGGCACAGAGACAGUCAUUCAUCUGCUAUGGUAUCUUGUAUCUUAUAAAUUGUGGUGUUUGGCUGAUAUUUUACUGGGGGUAAGUUGGGUUGGGGCUAGGUCAGUCAAAGAGGAGUUAUGGACUUGGAGAAGUAUCUACGGUGAUAAGCAUUAUAACAAACAACUUAGUUUUGUCCCUUUGUCUACUUUUUGAGUUAUAUGGAAAGAAAGAAAUAAGAGAGCUUUCAAGGGUACAAAAUUAUCUUUUGAUAGUAUCAAGGGUGCUUGGUCCCAGACUAGGUUUUUUGAUUAAGGGCCAUCUUUAUUCUUAAGAGGACUUUAGGGACUUGAUUGAUAUUUUGACUGACAUGUUUUUGUAUAUGGAUUGCAUCCCCUAAAUGCUUCUAAUAUAUUAUAUUUUUUAUUUUAACAAAAAAGAAGAGAAUCCUGUAAGAGGGAAGUUGAGAAGAAAAUUGCUAAAUCUUUGAUUUACUGUUUGAUUAGUAUCAAUGGUAGUGCAGACUAAUACAUAUUGUGUUUAAGAAAGUAUGAUAGUACAUGGGAGUGCAUGGCAUUCUUGAGCUCCCUACAGCUAAGGGUAACGGGAAAUAUCCUGACAUUGUGCUUUCUAUACUAUAUAGAAUUUUUUUUAUCAGUAGUGUCUUUUUUCAGCUCUUUUAAUGUUGAGGCUAUUGUAUUUGUUGUUGUUGUUGUUUUUUUUUUUUUUUUUCUUUUUCCAUUUUGCUUCAUUUCCAUUUUUUGGAGAAUGUCUUGUUCUCCAUGCGUAUAACUAUUCUAUUCACAUCUUAAUAUACUUCUCCUUCUAUCCAAAGAAAAGAAAGUAUGUUAGUUAAAAAGAUGAUCUGUAGUACGCUAUAUUUGUUGCUUCACAGAAUGUUCAUUCUAUGUAACGAUUAAGAAACAUUUUUUCUUUUCUUGUAUUUGAUUAAGGAAAGUUUCACGACAAGAAUAUUUGAAGAAGAGGGAGCAAAAGAAACUGGAGGAAAUCAAGUACGUGGGUUUCUUUUUUGUUAUACUGCUACUGUUGGAUGAAUUUGUCCAAAAUUAGGGAUUUCCUUCUAGUAAGAUGGCAAAUGUUCGCUGCAUGUAUUAUGCUCACUUUGAACUUCUUCCCUUCAUAAUUUUCUUAUAUCAGGGAUGAGAUAGAAGAUGAACAAUAUCUUUUUGAAGGUGUAAAGCUUACUGAAGCAGAAUAUCGUGAAUUUAGGUAAAGACUUAUUUUAUUGCCAUGGGAUCCUUUUACUUAAUUUUUUCUUCACAAUAUAUUUAGAUUAGAAGUUACUAAGCUGUGGGUUCGUCAUGAUUUGUCCUAAAUGCAUGUAUAACAGUCAAAACUCGACAACUGAUGCCUAAAUUGUAUGCUGAAAUAUCUUAUGCAUGUUAUUUGGCAGAUAUAAGAAAGAAAUAUAUGAGCUUGUGAAGAAGAGGUCAGAAGAGGCUGAGAAUGCAAAUGAGGUAAUCAGUGCAAGAGUGGUCCAUAUGUUGAUCACUUCAUUUUUUAUUUUUCUUGCUAAUAGAGAAUGCCUAGAACUGAAUUGGUACUCACCAAGUUGAAGACAGCAACAUAGUUACUAAAAUUUAGAAACAACACUAUCAAAAUUCAUGUUGUUUUCUUUUUGGAUGAGGGUAAAGUGGCACGUUUCAAAUGAUUUAAAUAUCUAAUUCUUUCACUAUUGUGUUAUUUCUUUUUCUAAUUUCCUUUACCAUUCUCAAUUUCCUUUCUCUUAGCUUCCUUUAUCCAAUUAUAAGAUUAGUAUACACUGGUAGUAGUUUCUGUAAUCGUUUUGGAAAGGUUUAUGCUAGAUAUCUUAGCUUUGUGAUUUUCUUUGAUAAAAAUAAGAAAUAUCAUUAGAAGAGAGAAAAUAAUAUACAAACUAAAAACGGAUAAGCUAACAUCCAAAAGAAAAAGAAACAAAGUUGAUUGGUAUCACUAGCAGCUUUGUGAUUAAAUACUGCAUGUUCUCGGAGUUGUUUGGUUAUUAGCAAUUACAAUGAGAUGACAUUCCUACAAUUUUUUGCUUUUGAUUGAUCAGCGAUGUAAAUUACAAUGGUAUUUUCUUCAAUGGCUAUUAUCAUAUUAAUUUAAUGCUGAGUUGUUCAAGAUGGAUUUCAGGAUUGAAAUGUUAACCCAUACUCCUGAAUCACUCUUCACGGAAGUUGUUUGUUGAUUCUUGGAGUGUUAACACAAUUAAGAAAUAUUUUAUUCGUGCAACAUUCUAUGCUUUUCUAUUUAAAAAUAAAUUUUAUUCGUGUAACAGUGCCUUACAAAAAAAAGGGUGUUUCUCUUUAUGGUGAUGGCUUAAGCACUUAUGGAUCAAGAAUAUGUCAUAAACAAUGAUCUCGUUUUCCUGCUUCCUGAAAACAUAUAUAUAUUCAUGUAGUAUUUUUUUUUGGUUGAUUGCUGAUAUGUAGGAUUAUUUUUUUCGGAAAAAGAAAUUCAGGUAGGGGAGAUAAUAAUUUAACAAAAUUGAGUCUUGGUCAGUAUGUGUGUGUGUGUGAAAUUCUGCCUGUCUUAUGACUUUCUUCCUUUUGUAUGGAUUAGAAUAAUCCUUAAUAACUAUCCGCUUGAAUGCAUAGAAACAAUUUCUUUUGUUUUUCACAUACAGUUGCGAUAAACUUUUAUUUUUCUGUGAAACAAGGUUAUGUUGCUGCUGCAUUACCUUAGAUACUGUUCGGAUGACCUGCUAUCACUAUAGUUCAUUUCCUAUUUUUUUCGUUCCUUUUCAACAAUAUUGCUUUUUUCCCCUAACAUGUGAAAGGAUUGUUACAUUUUUCCUCACUUGCGACCUUUCCCUUUAUUUGAAAACAUGGAGUUGUCGAAGCUUCCUNNNNNNNNNNNNNNNNNNNNNNAUGGACAUGUUGCUUAUUGUUUCCAUGUCCUAGAAGAUAAAUGUCCCUUUUAUUUAUUUAUUUAUUUCUUUUAGGGACACAAGUGUAUCAGAUAAAAUGAACCCAUUUGCAGAACAAGAGGCUUGGGAGGAGCAUCAAAUUGGUAAAAAUUUCUUGUUAAAACUUCUAAUCACUCAAUGUAGCUCUUUUGGUUUCUAGUACACGGUGAUUUUGACUCAUCAACUUGCAGGAAAGGCAACAUUAAAAUUUGGGUCGAAAAACAAAAGGCCAACCUCCGAUGACUAUCAGUAAGUUUAAAUUUCAAAAAUUGUAUGUGCUCGAAAAAGAAAAGAAUUGGAUGAUUGUUAUUAAGUUCGUCUAGUAUCAUACUUUUACUUCUUUUCCAUUGUCUAUUGUUAUCUUGUUUCUUUUUUUCAUCCAUAUAUAUUCAAUUUCUUAAUUUUUCCUUUUUUUUCCCUCUCAUAUUGAUAAAAUACUUAUAUUUUUUGAGAAGUGAACAAAAUUUAUUCACAAGGCAUUCAGAGAGGUGCCUCCUGUGUUGACGAAAGAAUUUUGAUUAACUUGUGUCAUAUAUUUACUCAUGUGUAAGCAUAGAUAUAAUGAGCAUCUUAUGAUUUUUUCUUUAGGUUUGUGUUUGAGGACCAGAUAGAGUUUAUCAAGGCAUCAGUGAUGGAUGGCGACAAUGUAUGCCCAUGCGAUCUAUUUGACUUUGGAUGGAUGCUUAUGUAGUACUGUACUGAAAAGCUCUCAUUUCAUUCUCUUAAUUCUUUUGCAGUUUGAAGAUGUCUUGCCCACCGAAUCACCUGACGGUUCCAGGGUGAAAUCAGCAUUGGAAAAACUUAAGGUCCAUCCUUCACAUUUUAAUUCUGUUUAUUGUGGUGUUGUACAUUUUAUAUUUUUCUCAUAAUUUUUUUGGUAAUGGAAAGAAAACUGCUCAUCAUAAAUAUUAAGGUGGAGAAUAAAUAGAAGCUUUUGAAAGGAAAUCCUACCCUUAGAUUACGCCUGGCUGUGUUUGGGACUAUUAACUGUGUAUAUAAGUUGGCUUUACACUCCCCAUCAGAGUGAUCGGUUUAAAAUCCUUGAUAUUUGUAUCCCCCUCAAUCUUGGGAAUAAACACUAGGAACAUGGAAUUUAAGCUUUUCAUGAAAGAUCCCAAAUCAUAAAAUUCUUUGAAUAGUGCAAUUAAAUCAUCUUUUAAAACAACCCAUAAUUUCUAAAGAAAUCCCAUAUUGAAACUCUCUCUUUUUUUUUUUUAAAUAAAAAGUGUGAAGUGUAUUACUAUAAGCACUAAAAUGGGGUGCAACCCAUUUACAAAAGAUUUACAAUGCAGUCAUCAUGAGACAAACAAAGCAAAAAAGUCCAUAUUGAAACUAUCUUGACUCAAGCCUUGUCACUCUUACAUCUCAUAUGGCCUUCCAAGAUCUCCUCCUCUGAUAACUCUUGUUCUAAGAGCAUGAAUCCUGCUCCCUUAGCUUGCUAAACUCUAGCCAUCAAGGUUUUGCCUCUAGGAAGCUUCUUCACUGUACAAUUCUUUGAAAAGGGAUGACCCCUUCCUUUAAAGCAUCAUUACCCUUCACCACUCUACCAUUAAUUUUCAGUUCUUCCAUAUAAUUGAGUCUUAUAUGAUGAUUAGCCAUUCUACUGUUAGUUUCCAGUUCUUCCAUAUAAUUGAACUUAGUAUUCAAGAGAGUUAUGUUUCGGGACUUAUUUACUGUGGGUUCCCUUAGCAUCCUUUUAUAGACAGUUUCUCAUUUUCCUCUGAAAAACAAGCUGCAGUAUUUAUGCUUUAGGUUCUUAUAAUUGGUAGUACUGCCUUCUAUUGACAUUUUUAAACAUAAAUCAAACUAGUAGAUAGAAAUAGUCUCAUAAUUUAUAGCUUAGAUUCAUAUAAAAAGACUGCUCAGGGUUAUAAAGUGAUAGAGAGUUAAGGAAAACUUUUAUAUUCUUAGUUGUCCAUUGAUUUUUAUGUGCAUAAUAACUCACAAUGUUGUAUGUGACAAAAUUCUUCUCUUUUUCAUGUUACUUGUUCAGGAGGAGAGAAAAACGUUACCAAUCUACCCAUACCGAGAUGAGCUUCUUCAAGCUGUUGAAGAUCAUCAGGUCUUUGUAAUUUUCUGCUUAUUUUCACCAUUGAGGGGCAUUCCUCCAUGCUUACAUAUGCAUGAAUUUGUAUUCUGUUGCCUACAGUAUUUUCAUAUUGCACAUCUUGACACUGCAAAGCAUGGUAAGAUUUCCAGACGUGGCUAGGAAUUGGACAUCCAUUUUGUAUGUCAGUUUGAUUGAACUAGGAUAAAAUGAAUAUAAAGGGAAAGUUAUUACCUCUUGUCAUACAUGCUAUUGGAGAUUUUGCGGGAAGAGUUGUGUAGGAUAACUGUUUGGGUUGGUCAUGCUGUUUUCUCUCCAUUAUGCCUUUCUUUUCGAAAAAAAGAACCUUGCGACCCCAAAGGAUAAGGAAGUAAGAAGAAAGGAUAAAUAAGGGAUGGAUAAAUAACUAACUCAUAAGAUGUAUUAUGAUAUUAAUUUCUUUUGCUUCCAAAUAUUUUAUAUGGUUUCUAUGUGAGCGUCAUAGUGCAACCUGACCUCAAUCUAAAUUUUUCUCUCUUCUUCAUUCUGUACUUCAGUUUGAAGUUUACACUUUUUUGUCAGCUUUGCUAAGUAUUUUUGCAUCUAACUUUCAAGAGGUUAUGCUUGUGGGCAAUAUGGCUGCACUUAAGUUGAUGUAGCAUAGCUAAUUUCAAUGCUGUUAUCAUUUAUUUGUUCAAGGUAGGGGCUGUUUUUCUGUGAUCCUGAUUCAUUCUUCAACAGGUUCUUGUUAUUGUAGGAGAAACUGGUUCUGGGAAGACCACACAGAUACCCCAAUAUCUUCAUGAAGCUGGUUACACAAAGCGUGGAAAGGUAUAAGCCAUGUUUUUAUCUAAAAAUAGAAAGGAGAGAUAUCUACAAGCUUUUCUUUUUAUAGAAGAAGAAAUGUUAUUAGAAAGAGGGAAUAAACUAAAAGAUAAGAGAAGAUGAGCUAUCCUUCAACGAAACGAAAAAAAGUACUUAGAAGAAUAUAAGCAAAAAGGUGAAUCAAUACAAAAUGGCAUGAGUCUCUUUGUAGUGUGGUUAAAAAGGUUCCCCCUAUAGAAAUCCCGUAAGAGAAAGAGAAAACACCAUCUUACCACAAAGGCCGUUGAUCAAUUGAGAUUAUUGGUUAAACAAUCUAAAGGGUAGUGGGCCCCCUGUUUAAAUAACCUAAAUGAAUCCAUGAUUCUAACAAUUGAAGAUCAGUCGGACAGGCUGACUUGAUCCUGUUUCUCCUAAGCUAAUUUAAUAAGAAAACUAGAUUACCGGCAAGCAAGUGGAGUUUUAUGUUUGUUAUCAGCCUUGAUGUAAACAUGAAUUAACAUGUGCUAGAUAAGCAAUAAAUAGUGUAGGAACAAAUGAAGGAAACAGAAAAUAGUGGUAGUGAGUUAUGUGAUUUGUUGUUUUUGUCCUCACAGGUUGGAUGUACACAGCCACGAAGAGUUGCUGCCAUGAGUGUCGCUGCCCGAGUUUCUCAAGAAAUGGGUGUCAAACUUGGGCAUGAGGUCAUGGUGUUAAAACUUGUUUUUUAUGAUGUCAUUUGUUCUUUCUCUGUCUGUCACUUCUUUUUACCCAUUUGCACUUACAUAUGUGUCUACACAUACACAUGCUCAGAGGUAUUGUACUUUUAUGUUAAUUAGCUAAAGAAAGAUUAAAAAGUUAUUAGAUAUUCUUACUUUUCACUCAAAGAAAAAGGAAGAUUUUUAUUGUUUGAUCAUUCAUGGUUUGUCUUGUGUUAGAAUAAAUCGUAUAGCAAAAAAAAAAAAAAAGAAAAUUCUUAGAAUUUGUUAUGAAAGGUGAUUUUGAUUUAGACAAUUAGGUACUGUAGCUAGCUUUUCUACCAAUAAUAAUUUAUCCACUUAUUUUUAUGAAUAUAAACUAUCAUCUUGUUUGCCAUUUCCUUAUUAAUUGUUUGAUAAACUUUUUUUUGUUUACAUUAGCUUGGGUUAUUUGAUAUUUUUGUAUCUGGACAUUAUGAAUUAUUAAUUGUUAAGCUGAUUUGAUUAUUUAAAAAAAAGUUCAGCUGAUUUGGUGUGUGUAUCUGUCAUUUACAGGUUGGUUACUCUAUUCGUUUUGAAGAUUGCACUUCAGAAAAGACUGUUUUGAAAUACAUGACUGAUGGAAUGUUGUUGCGUGAGUUGCUUGGCGAACCUGAUCUAGCUAGCUACAGGUUAGCUACCUCACAACCUCAUUAAUAAUUUUGUUAAAUGAAUUGAUCUUAUUAAUUAAUUGCUUAAUGAUCUUUUUCAGUGUGAUAAUGGUGGAUGAGGCGCAUGAAAGAACUUUAUCAACUGACAUUCUGUUUGGGUUAGUGAAGGCAAGUGCAUUCCUUCUAACUUGUACGUUGCCAACAGUUGUAUUUAUUAGAUCUCUGACUCUUCAUAUUUCUGUUUGACAGGACAUAACCCGGUUUCGGCCCGAUCUCAAAUUGCUUAUCUCAAGUGCAACACUUGACGCAGAGAAAUUCAGUGACUAUUUUGAUUCUGCUCCAAUUUUCAAAAUUCCAGGGAGAAGAUUUCCUGUUGAUAUCCAUUAUACCAAGGCACCUGAAGCUGAUUACUUAGAUGNNNNNNNNNNNNNNNNNNNNNNNNNNNNNNNNNNNNNNNNNNNNNNNNNNNNNNNNNNNNNNNNNNNNNNNNNNNNNNNNNNNNNNNNNNNNNNNNNNNNNNNNNNNNNNNNNNNNNNNNNNNNNNNNNNNNNNNNNNNNNNNNNNNNNNNNNNNNNNNNNNNNNNNNNNNNNNNNNNNNNNNNNNNNNNNNNNNNNNNNNNNNNNNNNNNNNNNNNNNNNNNNNNNNNNNNNNNNNNNNNNNNNNNNNNNNNNNNNNNNNNNNNNNNNNNNNNNNNNNNNNNNNNNNNNNNNNNNNNNNNNNNNNNNNNNNNNNNNNNNNNNNNNNNNNNNNNNNNNNNNNNNNNNNNNNNNNNNNNNNNNNNNNNNNNNNNNNNNNNNNNNNNNNNNNNNNNNNNNNNNNNNNNNNNNNNNNNNNNNNNNNNNNNNNNNNNNNNNNNNNNNNNNNNNNNNNNNNNNNNNNNNNNNNNNNNNNNNNNNNNNNNNNNNNNNNNNNNNNNNNNNNNNNNNNNNNNNNNNNNNNNNNNNNNNNNNNNNNNNNNNNNNNNNNNNNNNNNNNNNNNNNNNNNNNNNNNNNNNNNNNNNNNNNNNNNNNNNNNNNNNNNNNNNNNNNNNNNNNNNNNNNNNNNNNNNNNNNNNNNNNNNNNNNNNNNNNNNNNNNNNNNNNNNNGGGGAUGUUUUGAUUUUUUUCACUGGUCAGGAGGAAAUUGAGGCAGCAGAAGAAAUUAUGAAACACAGGACAAGAGGUUUGGGAACAAAAAUUGCGGAACUUAUAAUCUGUCCGAUAUAUGCAAACCUUCCAACUGAACUCCAGGCGAAAAUAUUUGAACCUACACCAGAAGGUGCACGCAAAGUUGUCCUUGCGACAAAUAUUGCAGAAACAUCUUUAACUAUUGAUGGGAUCAAAUAUGUCAUUGAUCCAGGGUUUUGCAAGAUGAAAUCAUAUAAUCCAAGGACAGGAAUGGAGUCUUUGCUGGUGACUCCCAUCUUGAAAGCCUCUGCCAAUCAGCGUGCUGGUCGAUCUGGACGAACGGGUCCAGGAAAGUGUUUCCGCUUGUACACGGCUUAUAACUAUCACAAUGAUUUGGAAGAUAAUACAGUGCCAGAAAUACAACGAACAAACCUUGCAAAUGUUGUGCUUUCUCUGAAGAGUCUUGGAAUCCACGACUUGCUAAACUUUGACUUCAUGGAUCCACCACCUGCUGAAGCACUCCUGAAAGCUUUAGAAUUGCUCUUUGCCUUGAGUGCACUAAAUAAACUGGGAGAGUUAACAAAAGUUGGUAGACGAAUGGCAGAGUUCCCUCUUGAUCCUAUGCUAUCAAAGAUGAUAGUUGCUUCUGACAAGUAUAAGUGUUCUGAUGAGAUAAUUUCAAUUGCUGCUAUGCUUUCUAUUGGAAAUUCAAUCUUUUAUCGUCCAAAGGACAAGCAAGUCCAUGCUGAUAACGCUAGAAUGAAUUUUCACACUGGGAAUGUGGGUGAUCAUAUUGCUUUGCUGAAGGUUAGUUUCUCUAAAAAAAUGAAUUCUUUUUUAUUUUUUAUUUUUCAAUAUAGUUAUGCUGCUGCUCACCAUUUAUUUCUACUAGUUGUUGUGAUCAACUUGGUAGGAGUUCUUGGUGAUUCGAUGCCCUCUCUUUUCCCCACUUUCCCUUAGAAGUUAAAAACGAAUGAUCACGGAAUUGGCAAGAUAGUAAAGUUUGUUGUCGUGUCAUUUGGGCUUCACACAUUUAUAUAUGUGUAUAUAUAUUCCGAGACUGCAUUCAGGUUGCCUAGUCUGGUUGAAUAUUAAGCACUAAGAACAUUAAAGGCAUUAGUUGAAAUGCCAAAUUCUACUGUCUGAAUUGGAUUUUUCUAGAGUUCCUUGAUUAUCUUUUUCUAUUGUAUCUUUCAGGUUUACAAUUCAUGGAAGGAAACAAAUUAUUCAACCCAAUGGUGCUAUGAAAAUUAUAUUCAGGUGUGGUACAAUAUUUUGAAUUAUUUUCACAUGGCAAUAUUCUUGCCUCGAUCACUUUUUCAUUUAGUAAGGACAUGUCCAGAGGCUGCAUGCUUAUUCUUCUAUGAUUCAUGUUUUUCUGUAGGGUGCUGAGAUGAAUAAGAGAUCUUUUUAAAUUUUUUAAAUGAAGCUUGUGAUAUAUUUUCUCCUGAAAAAUAUUCUUGUCCAUGUUUUGCCAUUGUAAAUGGUGAUGACAAUUUUGAUUUAGUGGCUAAAACUAUGAUAUAGCCAGUGGAUUUGCAGGAAGGCAGAACUUGAGCAAUUAACUGUUAGAAGCUUUUGACAUGACUGUCUGAUCUUGAGAAAGAAAGAGAGAGAGAAGAGGGAAAUAGAAGAGAAACAGAAAGGAAAAUCUGAGAAAUAAUUUUAUUAUUUUCCAUGAUUGAUUAUAAUAUAAAGAUUGAGCCUUUUAUAAACUAUAAACAAUUAAAACAAUCACCAUCAUGAGCAGAAUCAAUGCAGCGGUGACUACUGUGAAGUAAACUCAAAACAUUAACUCUAAUGCUAACCCUAAUUGAUACUUGUAAAAGACUAAUGUACCUUUUUUAUUGUUUCUUUUUUUAACCUUAAUGUUCCUAAGGUUAAAAUAUGGUUUAUUAUUAUUAUUAUUAUUAUAUAGAUAAAUAUCUUUUUAAAGCAGAUUUUUUUUUCUUUUAUAUAUAUACACACACACACACACACACUAAAGCAGUUAUAUAUAUAUAUAUAUAUAUGUUAAUUAUUAUAUAUCUAUAUAUCUUUUUUUUUCUGAAGAAGUUUUCUACUGCUCCAUAAAUCAAUUUUUUUUAUUUAUUAUUAUAUAUAGAUGUAUGUGUGUAUAUAUAUAUAUAUAUAUAUAUAUUUUAAGGCAGCUUUCUACUAUUUCCAUCCUAUAAAAAUUUGAUUUUCACGGAUUGGCCCCCCCUCCACACCACCGACGCAGCCGCUGUCGAGUGAUGUAAUUAUGUUGCUGCAGUCACGCCUUCUUCUUCCACCUCUAUUUCUUCCGCUUCUCCUUCUUCCGUUUCUUCUUUUCCAGAUCAGAACCCAUAUGGGGAACAAGAGACUUGUAGGUUACCAUCUUGACCUCGUGCGGAUUAAAGCGGAGCCUGACAAGAGCUUCCGGGAGGUAGCUCUUUCUGGCUGGUUGGCUGAGGCGAAUGAGGGAGAGACCUCUAGGGUGUUCAUUCUCGGCCACUACUGCUUGAGAAAGAAAGAGAAGGAGAGCAAGUGAACCAGUUCGGUUCAAAAUGUUGGUUGGAUCGGUUCGAAUCGGAUAAGUUAGGGAACCUUAUUCGGUCUAUGUUGUUUGGCCUAGUUCAAUAACUGAACCGGUUUUAGAGUUUAUUUUUUUAUUUGAAUCCCAAUUCUUUUCUUCUCCAUCACACGGAAGAGGGGUCGACUGUUCGUCAGGUNNNNNNNNNNNNNNNNNNNNNNNNNNNNNNNNNNNNNNNNNNNNNNNNNNNNNNNNNNNNNNNNNNNNNNNNNNNNNNNNNNNNNNNAAUGCAGCGGUGACUGCUGCAUUAUAAAUUCAAAACAUUAACUCUAACUCUAACCCUAAUUGAUACUUGUAAAAGAUUAAUUUACCUUUUUUAUUAUUUCUCUCUUUUUUUAUCCUUAAUGUCUUGACAUUAACUUAGAGUCUUUGGUCUACAGAAUUAUUCUUUUGCAAUUCUUAUUUUACACUUAUUCUACUAAAAAAUUUUAUUUUAUGCCUAUUUUUAAUAUAUAGGUUAGUCAAGGUGGAUGAUGUGAAAUCUUGCCCAUAUUGAUGACAAAAAUCAAUCUGUGAAGUUUUAGGCUCUCUUUGUUCUGCAGUUGUGGUUGACAACUUUUUAUCUGAAUGCUAGUUUCAUCUUUGAUAUAAAUGCUUUCAGGUGAGGAGCAUGAAACGUGCCAGAGAUAUAAGAGACCAGUUGGAGGGGCUUCUGGAGAGAGUUGAAAUUGAGGUGACGUCGAAUCCAAAUGAUUUAGAGGCUAUAAAGAAGGUUAUAACAUCUGGUAAAUGACUUAUUAUUCUUUGCUUGAAAUGAUUUUAUAGUUGAAGGAAAUUUGAUUUCCCAUAGUCAACAUUCUAAUUUCUAUUUUUUAGGUUUCUUCCCUCAUUCUGCUAGGCUGCAGAAAGGUGGAUCUUACCGUACAGUGAAACAUCCACAGACUGUUCAUAUACAUCCCACCUCAGGACUGGCCAAGGUAAGGUGACAAGUGAAUUUGUGACCGCCAAUUAUGAACCAUGGUGUAACAUAACUUGCUUUGAUAUUUUACUCUUCAGAAAUGCACCAGAAAUACAAUUUGUUUUUGAAAAAGAAAAAGCACUGGGAAUACAAUACCAUCUUGUCAUUUCAUUCAGCUGGUACAUGGAUUCUUUUGGCAAGGGAUCAUGACAAUAAAGGAUUCUAGUGUAUUCUUUCUUUCUUCUUCUAGAGACUUUGGACUAAGUUAUUCUUUCAGUUUCACAGCGAGCUAGAUUCCCCCCUCCUCUUUCUCCUUUGCAAGCUUUUAUUUCAUAUUCUUUGCAUGGUUUUCAUAAGAAAAGAGGAACAAAAGAUGUUGCUGAGAGGGGCUAUUUUCACUAAGUUGUGGGUAUUGUGAUCAGAAAGAAAUUCCCGAAUCUUUGAAGACUUAUUCAAGCUCCCUUUGUUGCGGUGGGAUUGAUUAGCUUCUUUGGGAGACUCUUUGGGUUAAGGUUCAUAGUUUUUUUUUUCACAUUGAGAGGGAGGUGAGGGUUGGGAGGGGGGAGGUAUUCUGAUGCAGAAUGGGCUAGCACUAGGUUUCUUGAAUAAAUUACAAAUUGUAAUUAUAAUAAAUGUAAAACAAUUAUUAGGAGUCUAUUAUUAUAUUUAGGAGUAUUAGUUUAGUUUUAAUAAUUUAGAAUUUAUAUCUUUAUUAGUAUUCUUAAUAUUAGUAGUAUUAGAUUCUUAUUCUUAAUUGUAUUAGUUUUCCUAAUUCUACUAGUUUACUAUUUCUUAUUUUCACUAUAUUGAGGCAAAGUUGUUGUUGACUAGAAUAUUAUGUUGCCUAAUUAGUCAAAGAUAUUUUUUUCUGUAUUAUGUAGUCAAUUAGAAUCUCUACUAUUAUGCUUUGUAUAUAUACCUAAAUUGUAACAACACAAAGCGUAUAAGAAAUAAAGUAAAUAUUCAUUCUUCAAAAUCAACAUGGUAUUAGAGCAAAAUAAGAGUAUUUUAGGGUUUUUAAAUUUCAAGGUUUCUCUCAAACCCUAAAAUAUUUUCACCACCCACCCAAAUGGAGUCAUAACCUCACCGGUGGCCUGCUGCCCUAUUCUGGUGACCUUCUUCAGCCUACCUGAUCCCUUUGCUCUGGUCGUACCUGGCUGUUCGCACUGCUUCCUCGUGCGUGGCCUCUGGUUCGCGCAUGCCCGGCCUGACCUGACCUAUGGAAGAAUGUGCUUUACACAUGUAUAGAUUAAAUUAAGAAAGUCUGAAUAUAGUAGUUAGUCUCCCUAGAAUUAGGUUGAUUUGAUUAGUUCCUUUUUUUGUGGUGUCAUAUCCCACAGAUUAUGGGAUGAAAAUAUCUCACAGAUUAUGAGAUGUGAAUAUCCCACAAAUUAUUGGAUCCUGUAUAUAAACCAAUUGUAAUUGUAAUACAAAGUAUACUUUUUCAUCUCAAACUAUAACAUGGUAUCAGAGGUUUAGGCUAUUUUUUUGGGAACUGAAACCCUACUCUUCAUAGCAGAGUUCUGCCUUCAUAGCAGAUUCUUUUUUUUUUUCUCUUUUCUUUUUCUGUUCUAUUGUUGAGGAGUUUUCUGAAACUCUACUUCAUCACCAAAGUUUCAUUGAUUCGCCGUUGCAAUAUCUUUGACAUGCCACUCUGUAUGGAAUUGUACGAAAUUGCAAGCUGGCCCCUGUUUCUGCUCUACCGCCACUGCUGCCAGGAAGCUUUUGUAAGAGAGUACCUGAAUUGUAUCAGCCUUCAUCGCUGAUAUUUUACUUGACUCAAAACUGGCCUUAAUUGCCUUGGGACUGCUUGGUUUGAUUAAGAAUGUCGGAGGUGGUAGAAACAACAGUUAUGAUACAGUUGGAGGAUGCAGAAAUUGUUAGACCUCAAGCCGGGGAAUUACAGAACAUUCAGGCAGCAUAUUGGCUGAAUGGAAAAAACUAUCUUAAAUGGUCCCAACUUGUCCGAAUUGUGCUGAAAGGGAAAGGAAAAAUCAGUCACAUAUUAGGAACAUGGCCAAAACUGGAAGAUCCACGAUUUGAAGCGUGGGAUGAGGAGGAUUCUAUGAUCAUGACAUGGCUAUGGAACUCCAUGACUCCAGAGAUUAGCGACACAUGUAUGUUCUUAGCCACUGCCAAGGAUGUAUGGGCUGCAAUUCAAGAAACGUAUUCCAAGGUAAAUGAUGCUGCCCAAAUCUACGAAGUCAAAGUUAAGACGAUUCCUGCAAAACAAGAAGAUAGGAUUGUCAAUGAAUAUGCCAAUCAAAUGAAGGCUCUAUGGCAAGAACUUGAUCAUUAUAGGGUAAUUAAGACCAAAUGUCCCGAUGAUGCGGCAAUUUUGAAGGAGUUUAUUGAACAAGAUAGAGUUUAUGAUUUUCUGGUUGGACUCAAUGCAGAAUUUGAUUUAGUUAGAAUUUAGAUUCUUGGCAAACAGGAAGUUCCAAGUUACAAUGAAGUGGUGGCACUCAUCCGAGGAGAAGAAAGUAGAAGAGAAUUGAUGCUUGAACCAAAGGGAACUGACAGUUCGGCUUUAGUUACUAGUAACAACAAUAAGAUAGCCACAAAUGCAGAAAAAAUGCCAGCGGUCGAGAAUGGAAGAAUCAACCAGCCAAAGACUCAAAACCAUGACCAUGAAGACACUCUACGGUGUACCUACUGCAAGAAGGCACGUCAUACUCAUGACCGGUAUUGGAAAUUGCAUGGAAAAUCACCAAGCCGCGAGUGGGGACAAAAAAGAGAGCAACCAAGGAACAAUGGACAAGCCCAAAUUGUAACAGUGCAACUGCAUGAAGGGAUAUCACAAGAGAUGGGAAAUCUCAGCCAAGAAGAAAUUGAGAGGGUGAGAUCACUUAUUGGCAAUCUUGAAAAACCAUCAGGUACUUGUUCACUGGCGUAUUCAAGUAAACUUCCCUUCUCCAUUGGAUUAAAUCUCUCGAAUAUAGCCUUUACUAACUCUUGGAUUAUUGACUCAGGAGCUACCGACCCUAUGACCCAUUCCUCAAAAGUUUUUUCCUCAUAUACCCCAUGUUCAAGUAAUAGGAAAAUAAUCACAGCCGAUGGAUCAUUAACUACUGUGAUAGGCAUAGGUGAUGUUGUCAAGAUAAGUCUGUCGCUGUUGUUAAAAAAUGUUCAUGUCCCUAGGCUAACCACAAAUCUUGUUUUCAUCGAAAAGGUCACUAAAGAUUUUCAUUGUAAAGUAGUUUUUAAUCAGAGUUAUUGUGUAUUUCAAGACAAGGAUUUGGGGAGGAUGAUUGGACAUGCUAGAGAAUGGGAUGGACUCUACUAUCUCGAAACAUUAAAUCAUUUACCAAGUUAAUCCAACACUACCAAGAGCAUAACAUCUCAUUUUCCUGUCUCACAGUCUUUUUCAUCUAAUAAAGAACAAGUCUGGAUUCAUCAUUGCAGACUUGGACAUCCAUUAUUUAGGAUUAUUAAAUUUUUAUUUCCUUCUUUAUUUAAGGGUAUAGAGGUUGAACAUUUUCAUUGUGAAGUGUGCCAACUUGUUAAACACAAACUUGUAUCUUUUCCAAUUAGUAAUAAAAGGAGUUCUAUUCAUUUUGAUCUCAUUCACAGUGAUAUUUGAGGUCCUUUAAAUAUUUCCAAUGUAAAUGGAGUUAAAUGGUUUGUGUCGUUCAUUGAUGAUUGUACUUGAGUCACCUGAAUUUUUUUACUUAAACAGAAAUUCGAUGUUAGCAUUGUUCUAAAUUUUUGUUCUAUGAUGAAGACUCAAUUUGGGGUCAAUAUCAAAAUAUUUAAGUCAAAUAAUGUUAAAAACUAUUUCAAUCAAACCCUAACUGCAUACUUUUAAAAAGUAGGAAUAGCACAUGAGUCCUCUUGUGUGGGCAUUCCACAACAAAAUGGAGUAGUAAAACGAAAAAAUGGUCAUCUCCUCGAUUCAACAAGAUCCUUCUUGUUUCAGAAAAAUGUGCCUAAAUCUUUUUGGGGAGAAGCGGUUCUUACAGCCGCCCAUAUCAUAAAUCGUUUGCCUUCUAGAGUCUUAGGAUUUAAAAGUCCAGUGGAUGUCCUUUUCAAGUUCUAUCCAAACCUACACACCACAAAUAGUCUUGUUCCUUGUAUAUUUGGGUGUAGCAUUUGUUCAUGUUCAUAAUUAGAAUCAGGGAAAAUUAGAUCCAAGGGUAUUAAAAUGCGUGUUUGUGGGAUAUUUUUCAACUCAAAAGGGAUAUAAGUGCUAUCACUCUCCAUCAAAAAGGUUUUAUGUCUCAAUUGAUGUGACAUUCCAUGAACAAAAAUCCUAUUUCACCGUUCUUAUCUUCAAGGGGAGAGUUCAAUAAUGGAAGAUAAGGAUAAGACAGAUCUUUUGCCUCUUGAUCUGCCAUCUUCACCACUUCUUGUGUCAAGACAGCCUAGUCCCAUGGAUGUUUCUACCGAGCUUCCUAAAAAUGUUUCUCCCACCAAGCCCACCGACAAUACAAAUCCGACCAUUUAUAGUGUGAGAUUUAGCAAAGGCAGAGUGUUCUCGAGGAGGAAGAAGGUUGUCCUUGAAUCUGUGCAAGUCGAAGACUCCAAACUAAAUCUUGAGACUGAGGUAGGAAUUUCUAUUCCCUUUUCUCAAUCUGAAUAUGAGAUAAACAAUGAUGACCAAGAUCUCCCUAUUGCUAUCAGGAAAGGAAUUAGAGAAUGUACAAACCGAUCUCUAUAUCCUUUUGCACAUUUUCUGUCCUUUAAACAUUUUUCACCAUCUCAUAGAGCCUUCCUUGUUAGCUUAAACAACAUCUCCAUCCCUACCAAUGUAUCCGAGGCUUUAACCAAUGAAAAAUGGAAGCAAGCCAUGAAUGUGGAGAUGGAGGCAGUGGAGAGGAACAAAACUUGGGAGUUAGUGAAGUUAGCUGAAGGAAAGAAACCCGUAUGGUGUAAAUGGGUUUACACAGUAAAAUAUAGAGCAAAUGAAUCAAUAGAAAGAUACAAGGCUAGGUUGGUGGUUAAGGGUUAUACUCAAAUCUAUGGGAUUGAUUAUCAAGAAACGUUUGCUCCGGUUGCAAAGAUGAACAUUGUUAGAGUUUAUUAUCACUAGCAGCUAAUGGAGAUCUAUGUUGGGUCAAUUGUUGACAGAAGAUCAACUUCAGAUUAUUGCACAUUCUUUGGUGGAAAUCUGGUGACAUGGAGGAGUAAGAAACAUAAUGUGGUAGCACGGUCUAGUGCUGAGGCAGAAUAUCGAGCAAUGGCUCAGGGAGUGUGUGAACUACUAUGGUUGAAAAUGGUUCUGAAGGAUAUGAAGAUUACGUGAGAUGGCCUAUGAAACUUUAUUGUGAUAACAAAUCUGCAAUCAGCAUAGUUCACAACCCAAUGCAACAUGAUCGAACGAAACUCAUCGAGAUUGACAGAUAUUUCAUCAAAGAAAAGUUGGAUAGUGGAUUGAUUUGUACACCUUAUGUAUCUACACAUGGCCAACUUGCUGAUAUACUCACUAAGGGGUUAAGUAGUUCAGUAUCUGAGAGUUUUGUAUCCAUGCUGGGAACGGUGAAUACCUAUUCACUAGCUUGAGGGGGAGUGUGGAAGAAUGUGCUUUACACAUGUAUAGAUUAAAUUAGGAAAGUCUAAAUAUAAUAGUUAGUCUCUCUAGAAUUAGGUUGAUUUGAUUAGUUCCUUUUUUUGUGGUGUCAUAUCCCACAGAUUAUGGGAUGGGAAUAUCUCACAGAUAAUGAAAUGAAAAUAUCCCACAGAUUAUGGAAUGUGAAUAUCUCACAGAUUAUGGGAUGUGAUUCCAUUUUUAAAGGGUAGAGCUCCUGUAUAUAAACCAAUUAUAAUUGUAAUACAAAGUAUAAUUUUUCCUCUCAAACUUCAACACGACCCAUCUUUUGACUUUCUUCCUUCGCGCACGACUGUUGCUCCUUCGUUGGGAUUCCUCACACGCAGCCUCUGAUUUACAUAAAGGUCCCUGUUUCCGCUAUUUCUGUCGUUUCGGCAAGGGCCAUUCAUUGGGCUUUCAUCUGUUUCUUACAUAAUCGUGCGCACUUCGGCCUCCUCUGAGUUCUGGUUUCGCCUUUGCUCUCGGCUCCAAUCAGUCUCCUCAGCUAUGCGAAUCUGGUUGCGUCACACCAACGAGUUUUACACGGCCACGCGCGAUUUUCAUUCUCCCAGCCACGCGUUGUUGUGAUCUAGUCCUCUCCAUGAACUCCCAACAAGUUUUGCCAUAUCCCUGCAGGUCCGCCUGAGCUGGUCGCAAUCUGCCCUUCCUCGGUGCGGGACUAGCAUCUGUUUCCAGCAUUGACGUGAGCUCUUAAGCUGAGCUGCUUCCAAGCUUAUCUGAGCCAAUUUUUGGACCAUUUUUUGUUGGCAUCCUUGGUGUUGAUUAGUGACCUUUCUAUCGUGUUGAGAUUAAGAGCUGCGUAUUGUUCUUUCUCUAUCGCUAGUUAUUUUUAAAUAAUGACAGGAGUAAAUAAAUUGGUUGUUCGAAGUUCGGGUAACCACUCAUUAACUAUUGGUAAGUCAAAAAUGGUAAAUUCAGGUAUUGCUCAUCUCACUGUUAUUUCUAAUUCUGAUACUUGAAUUAGAGAAUCUAGAGCUAACAUACACAUGACAGACUCUUCGAGAUUUUUUAACUUAUUUUCCAUGUACUCAACGGAAAAAUGUUCGUGUCGCAGAUGAAUCAUACACUCCUGUAUUUGGAACAGGUUCCAUUAAUUGUACUUCGACCGUUACACUGUCUUCAGUCCUUCAUGUGCCUAGUUUUUCUGACAGUUUCUUAUCCAUUAGUGCUUUUACUGGAGAUCUUAAUUGUAAAAUUGAAUUUUGUUCUUACUAUUGUAUCCUUCAAGAUCUUCAAAUAGGGAAAAUGAUUGGCACUGAUAAGUUGUAGGAUAACUUAUAUGUCUUGAAUAAAAGUCGAAGCGUAAUUGAGAAUUAAACUGCCUUCGGAGAUACGGAUGCCAAUGGGGAAAUCAUAUAGUUGCAUCGACGAUUAGAACAUUUUUCUUUUUUUACUGUAGAAAAAUUAUAUCCUACAUUAUUAAAAGAAUUUUUAUGGAUUUCUUAUUUUGUGAUACAUGUGAGCUAGCUAAACGUAGGAGUUCAUAUCAUGUGAGUAACCAUAGAAGUCCUACCCUUUUUAUGACCAUUCACUCUGAUGUUCGGCGAUCCACUCAGAAUACAUUCUUGUCUGGUCAUAGAUGGUUUAUUAUUUUCAUUAACUACUGUACUAGAUUAAUAUAGAUUUAUCUAUUGAAAGUCAAAAGCGAUGUGUUACUAGAUUAACAUGGAUUUAUCUAUUGAAAGCCAAAACCGAUGUGUUCUUAUACUUUCAAUUUUUUCAUAAAAUAGUAUGUACAUAGUUUGAUAUUAAAGUUAAGAUUCUAAGAAUAGACAAUGGUACAAAAUAUAUGGAUAAUGGAUUCAGUGCCUACUUAGAGUCUAAUAGAAUAAUCUAUCAGACUAGUUGUGCCUACACCAAUGAACAAAAUGGUUGCUGAAAGAAAAAAUAGACACAUAUUGGAGGUAGUUCGGUCUCUUUUGUUCACUAUGAAUUUACCCAAAAGUUACUGGGGAUAUGCAGUUUUUGUAACUGCUUAUCUUAUCAACAGAAUGCAUUUGAGAGCUCUUGAUUUUCGAAGUCUAUUAGAAGUUUUACAAGGAAAAAAUUCAUUUGUUGUUCCUCCAAAAGUGUUUAAAUGUGUUUGUUUUGUCCAGCAAAAAAUGUGGGCAAGUUGGAAUCUGGAGCACUUAAAUGUGUAUUUAUUAGAUAUUCCCUUAGUAAUAAAGGUUACAAAUGUUAUCAUCCUCCAUGUAGAAGAUAUUUUGUGACUAUGGAUGUUACUUUCAGGAAAUUGGGGGCUUAUUUCAAUCCAAACCUAACGCCUCGUCAGGGGGAGAGUGAGAAAGAAGAGGUAAUUCCCAGUAUGCCCACUUUGUUAACUCUUGACAUUUAUAUUUAGGAAAAAAAUUGUAGUUCGAAAGGUCUCAUUUAAGGAGAUAAUAUGGAGAGCUUGGAUAAAACAGACUUGAAGAGGUAUUCGAGGAAGAAUAAGAUAGAGAAAACUAUCGUGCAGUCCGAUUUAGGCAAAAAAUCUUCCUCAGUUCCUAAAAAUACUGGUGAGUUACCUCCAUUUUCUGAGUUUGGUGAGGAUGUGGAUAAACCUAUUGCUCUUAGAAAAUGAGUCAAGUCUUGCAUUAAACAUCCUAUGUUUAAUUUUGUUUCUUAUAAAUCUUUAUCUCCCUUCUGUAGAGCCUUUAUCUUGUCUCUUUUUUUUGUGUCUAUUCCACAGGAUUUGAGAGAAAUGAUAAGAGAUUCUAAAUGGAAGGAAGUUAUGAUUAAAGAAAUAAGAGCAUUGGCAAAAAAUGAAACAUGAGAACUUGUUUCACCUCCACAGGAAAAGAAGAUGGUUGGUUGCAAAUGGGUGUUCACUGUAAAACACAAAACAAAUGGGUCAAUUGAAAGGUACAAAGUUAGAUUGGUGGCUAAAGAGUUUACUCAAACCUAUGGAGUUGACUAUCAAGAUGUCUUUGCACAUGUCGCGAAGAUGAAUACAAUUAGAGUAUUAUUGUCUUGUGCAGCUAACCUUGAUUGGGACUUACAACAAUUUGAUGUGAAAAAUGUUUUCCUUUAUGGAGAAUUAGAAGAAGGGGUAUACAUGAAAAUUUCGUUUGAAUUUGAUGAUGAAAGAAAGUAAGAGAAGGUUUGCAAAUUAAAAAAAGUCUUAUAUGAAUUGAAGCAGUCUCCAAGAGCAUGAUUUAGAAAAAUUAUGAUCUCUUUUGGAUAUCAAUAAAGUAAUGUUAAUCAUACUCUGUUCAUCAAGCAUUAUGAGGCUACAGUCAUUCUUCUCAUUGUCUAUAUAAAUGAUAUUUUGGUGACUGGAGAUGACACAAAGGAGAUGACUGAUUGAAGAACUUCUUGUUCAAAAGUUUAAAUAAAAGAUUUAGAAAAAUUGUAAUAUUUAUUGAAAAUUGAAGUUACCAAAUCUAAUAGAGUACUCUUCAUUUCUCAAAGGAAGUACAUCCUAUACUUAUUAGAAGAGCUGGUAUGAUGGGUUGCAAGCUGACAAAAUCUCCCAUCGAAAGCAAUCACAAACUACAAGCAGGUAGUGGUGCAUCAGUUGACUUGGGGAGAUAUCUGAGAUUGGUUGGAAAACUCAUUUAUCUUUCACAUUUCAGACCUCAUAAGCAUAUUUCGUGAGUCUGGUGAGUCAAUACAUGUAUUAUCCUCGUGAGCCUCAUUUACAUGUUUUUUGCAUAUUACGAUAUCUAAAAUCUGCACUAGGAAAAUAUUUGUUCUUCUCUAAAAAUGGUCACGUUAAAAUAGAAACAUUUACAAAUGCCAAUUGGGUUGGAUCUCCAGAUGAUAGAAGGUCAACUACCGGCUACUGCACACUCGUAGGAGGUAACUUGAUUACGUGGAAAAGUAAAAAAUAGAGUGUGGUUGUGUGCUCCAGUAUUAAAGCAGAAUAUAGAGCAAUGACUCAUAAGAUAUGUAAAUUAGUUAAUGAAAAAAUUAAAAUUGUUUAAAGAAAGAAGUUUAUCAUUAUUCUGUGAUAAUAAGACAACCAUUAAUAUUACUCAUAAUCCAGUUCAACAUGAUCAGAUAAAACACAUUGAGAUUGACCGACAUUUCAUAAAAAAAAAGUGGUUGAUGACUUCUUAUACUUAUAUCAUGUGCCUUCAUGUGAGUAGGUGGCAGAUGUUUUCACUAAAGGACUUUGCAACAAAUCUCAUCAUAACUUGGUAUUGGUAUAUAAGUUAGACAUGUGUGAUAUAUUUGUACUAACUUGAGGGGGAGUGUUGACUAGAAUAUUAUGUUGCGCAAUUAGUCAAAAAUAUUUUUUUCUGUAUUAUGUAGUCAAUUAGAAUAUUUAUCAUUAUGUUAUUUUCCUUAUUUGUAUACAGAAAUUUUGUAUAUAUAUCUCAAUUGCAAUAACAUGAAGCGUAUCAAAAAUAAAGUAAAUAUUCAUUCUUCAAAAUCAACAGUUAAUAGAUUUUUAUAAAUAGUUUGUAACUUUACUUAUUAGAGCAUUUAGUUAUUCAAUAAUGCUUUUGAGAGUUCUUUAUUUUUUUGGUUGUAUGAUAGAAUCAAACUUUUCAAUGUGAUGCUGAAAACGUCUUAGAUGUGAGAUGUGAUGUCUAAGAAACGCUAGAUGUGAUGUUUAAGUUGUUAUCUCCAAAUUCUUAAUUAGACAAAUCAAACCAUAUUUGUUCUACAUCAAUUUGGUAUUAGAGGUAAAAGAAUCUUAUAUCCAGAUUCUCAAAACCCUACACCCAAACAGUCUCAACCCCAUUUGAAGAAGAAAACACAAAAAAAAAAUCACAUAAACCCUAAGAUGGUUGCCAGUUCCGCUCACUAGCCACCACUUGGAGGUGGUCUACACUGCCACUACCACCAGGUUUAGAAGGUCCCGAUUGGCGAACCCAUGAAGCCUUGCCACAAAACCCCACCAAGGAAAGUGCCACUUGCCAGCGUAAGUCCUCUUGUCGCUGCAUGUACUGAUCUUGUAUUUCUACACAAUCAUGUCUCACAAUAACGUCCAAUCUAUAGCUGCCACCUCCAUUUAAGACCAUUGACCAAAGAUCAAUUUCAUUUGAUGACUGGGAAGACGGUGCGUGAAGCCCUUGCACGAAGAGGAGACCCUGUGCAAUAUGUUAUGUUUUGGCUUCGUUCAUAAGUUCCUUGUUCGGCCAAAAUUUUUCUAAGUUUCAGUAGUGGUGACUAACGUUGAAUUAAAUGUUAAGUUUGAGAUGCAUGUGACAAUCAAUAAUACAUGAUUGGAAACAAUGCAAAAUACUAAGACACUUAUGCACAAUACAAGUACAUCCACCAAUUCAAAAUAUACAAGUUUGAAAAAGCUGCUGAUGGAAGACACAUUGAAGAUAAUGUCAAAGAUAUUACCAAGAGGGUAAAAGUUGAAGCUCCUAAUUUUAAUGGAAAAAAGUACUUCGAUUUCUUUCUUGAUUGACUUAAUUUAAGGAAAAAGUACUUCAACUAAUAUAACAUGUCAUAUGCACAAAGAGUUCAAUUUGCCAAGAUGAAGUUGGUUGGAUUUGCAAAAAUAUGGUGGUACACUAUUAAUGAAAACAUAACAAGGAGACAACCAACAAUUGAAAGAUGGGGUGAGAUGAAAAUUAUUCUUCAUGAAAGUAUCUACCUCUUAACUACUUUGACAAACUUCGUAAUGAAGCUUACACUUUAGGCUAGGGAAAUAUUUCAAUAACUGAGUACAUACAGAAGUUUGAAGAAUUAAAGAUUCAAAGUCAAUUGGUCGAAGAUGAUAGUCAAACAAUAUCUCGGUUUAGGACAGGACUAAGAGUUGAUUAAAGAGAGUUAGUUUGACAACCUCCUCCAACUAGAUUACAAAUUUAAUCCUAAACAAUUGUGCAUUUCUACUAUUUUAGGUAUUGGUGAGAACAACCAAAAACAAGGUUGUUAAGUUUUCAUGGAGAAGCCCAAAGUUCAAGAUUUUACAUUAUUUACCACUACAAGGCUCGUGGAUGAAUUUUUUCCAAUCAGGAAAGAAUGAUGCAAAAGGGGCUAGCAUUAAAUCUCUUAAACAAAUUAGAAAUUGUAAUUAUAUUAAAUAUAAAACAACUAUAUUAUUUAGAAGUCUAUUAUUAUAUUAUGAGGAGUAUUAUUAUAGUUUUAAUAAUUUAAGAUUCUAUUCUUAUUAGUAUUUCUAAUUUAUUAGUAUCAUUUUUAUUAGGAUUUAUAUUUAUAAUUUUACUAGUUUACUAUUUUUUAUUUUAAUUCUAGUUAGGAAAUGAUUCUUACAGAUUAUUAUAAAUAGCUUGUAAUUUCAUUUAUUGGAAUAUUCAGUUAUUUGAUAAUAUUUUUGAGAAUUUUUCGUUUUGAUUGUUGUGUAAUGCAAUCAAACUUUUAAGUUGUGAUGUUUAAGACUUAGAUGUAAUUUUUAAGAAGUCUUAGGUGUAAUGUUUAGAUUCUUAUCUCCAAAUCGUUAAUGAGAGAAAUCAACCCAAAUAAAAACAAAAAAAGAAUGGAAUCCGGAUCCUCUUCACUCUCUCCAUUCAUUUACUCAAAUAGGAUAGAAAACGGAGCUGCUGUUCGUUUCGUAUUCGUAAACAGGUAAAAAAGCUGCACCACUGACCUUCCUCCCGGGAUCCCUAGGCUCGUGAGAAAGUAUACCUAUUGGUAACUUUAGCUACUCUUUAUUUUGCGUUUUUCCUUUGUCCCUUAGUUUUCUAUGUUCUUAUGCUGCGACUGGUGGAUUCCUUAUCCCCCUCUUUUUAAUGCUUUCUUCGCCCUUCGUAGUAAUGUCUUAUUUUAUCGAAAAAGACUAUCUAAAAAUUAUAUCCGGGAAAGUUUACUCCUGUUAAAGGAUCUAGUUGCCUGAAGUGGUGAUUUGUGAGUCAAAUAUAUCAGAGAACUAUGCUAAAGAAAACUUUUCGUUAACAACUUCUGGGAACAUGUAAGUGAAUGAAGGCUUUAUUUGAACAAACAUGAAAAUUUGAGUUUCUAAUGCUUUUUAUGUCAAGUAGUGUCUUAUGGUUUUGCAUCUUUCCUGUGCUUUUGUUUUCACUUCUUUUCAGGCUCUCCCAAGAUGGGUUGUGUACCAUGAAUUGGUCCUCACAACCAAGGAAUAUAUGAGACAGGUGAAAUUUUAAAUUUGUUCUUUGGUUAACUUUCCAUUGUUGAAGGCUUUCAUUAGGCAAUGUUUUUAUGGUAGCUAAAUCUUGGAGCAUUUGGUUGUAGGUGACUGAACUAAAGCCAGAGUGGCUGGUGGAAAUAGCUCCUCACUUCUACCAAUUGAAGGAUGUUGAAGACUGUAUGAUACAUCUCUUGUCUGAUUAUUUGCUCUUAAUUGUGAUUUGUAAUUAACCUUUUUGUGGAAUUUGAUAAAGUUUUUUAUAAGAAUUGGAUUGAUUCGUCUAUUCGAAAAAAGGACUGGAUAAUUUGCUAGGAGACAGAGGUUAAUAGAGUGUUUCUUUGUUUCCAUAGGAGAAUCCUAGAUGGCAAGGGACAAGGUCCGGACCAAUAAGGGCUUGGACCAAUAAUGGCUUAGAUUCUAUACCCUUAGCAUGUUGGCGUUGGAUGUUUUUAGACAAUCUCAGAUAGUUUAGGUUUGACAUCUACCUAUGGAUCACAACCUACCUCUGCACAACAUGGUUUUCAAUGUGAUGGUGGGAGUGCUCUAUAAAGUACUGUUUGUUCUAGUCGCUAAGCUGAUUAAUGAAACAGCUUGUGUUUUCACCUAAAAGCACAUGUCAUUUUUCAAUAAAUUAAUGAAACAUAAAGUUAAUAUAUGUAAUCAUUGAAAAUAUUAUCUAUACCUUAUGGAACAAGUCAUUUUCCAAAAGCAUCCAAAUCUAUUUUUUCAUUUCAUCUUUAUAAGAAGUCAAAGAUAAUUUUUGCUUUUACCUAAAAGUACUUGUGUUUUCAGUGUUUGAUUGACAGCAGAAAGGAAAGAAUAAACUCAGCCAAACAUGUACUAGAUUAUCUGCCUGUUAGUUUUUAUGGAAUGGAAAUGACCUCGCAAUAUGUGGGGUUCAAAAGAAUUGCAUGAAUGCUUGAUAUCGGUGUGCAUAGCAAAUAAUGGACUGAUAUAUUUUGACUCUGGAUUUUUAUCUGUUGCAGCUGCGUCAAAGAAAUUGCCAAAGGGAGAAGGGCGGGCAGCACUAUAACAGCAAAGUGGAGUAAAUCCUUUUGUAGAGACGUUUGAGACGUGUUCAACUAGGGGCUUACUGUGCUUUUAAAAAAAAAAAAAACUAGGGGCUUACUGUAGCUUACUCAAGGUUAGAGGCUUAAAGAAGGUUAGAGCCGUCUUCUGAAAAAAACAAGGUUAGAGCUGUCAAUAAAAUUUUGUAAUUUUAGGGUACUACACAUUUAAAUCAUUUAUAAACCUGUAGUAGUUCGUUGUCUCGUGGAUGAAAUUUGGGCAAAUUCAUGUUCGAUUACUCGAAUUAUUUCAUGUUGUAUAUACGUAUAUAUUUCUACCAAAGGAUAGAUUUCUUUCUACUGUCUUCUUUGACCCAUUUCUUUCUAGUGUUUUCUUAAAAUUUUGGGUUAUGAGUUUUGCUAGCCUAGAAGUUUUGACAUUUUACUACUGGCAGAGUUAACUGUGCCAUCUUCAUCCAACAUAAGAGGUAUAUGAAGUACAACUAGUUUAUAUGUGGCAAGAGUCACCAAAUGAAGUUUAAGAAGUCAAUUGUAAUUUCAAGAUAUUACUAAUUGGGGUAAAAAUUUGAAGAAUUUAAAAUGCAUCUGCAAAGAGUUUAAGAAAAAUCUGGUGUAAUUAAUUAUGCCCAAAAAUGAUGUAAUUCAAGUGUAAUAUUUUUAAAACAAAUUCUCAAUAUCCUGAAAAACAAUCCAAUUUAAAAGCUCCAUGGGCUGGCAGAAGAAUUUCCAAACAUUGAAGAGGAAGUAGAAUGAGAGAAAAUGGAAAAGAACAAAAUGUUAAAGCAUUGUUCGUUUACUCUUACAAGAGGAAAUUAAAGUAGGUAGCUAUUAUAACAUAUAUUUCAGCAAUCUAAACUGUAUUUUGGUGACAACAACAGAAAGAGUAACUUAUUAUAUAGAAACAAGAAAAUGUAUGGAGAAAAACGCAUUCAUCUCUCCAUGUUCUUUUGAGUUCCAGCUUAAACCAACUGCACCAGCUUUAAGCUACUGCAGGCAUGUCUUUAAGCCAAGGAUCCAAUGGCUUCCCAAUUGAGUACACAAUAAAUCCAAUCUCCCUCAGCUUGGCAACAUCUAUGAUGUUCCGUCCGUCAAAAAUAAAUGCAGGCUUCUGCAUAUUAUUGAAAAUCCUCUGGUAAUUGAGCGUCUUAAAUUCAUCCCAUUCAGUCAAAAUGCAGACUCCAUGAGCAUCCUUUGUUGCCUCAUAAGCAUCCCAACUCACCUUCACUUGCUUCGUGGUAUUUGGGCUUAGUGGCUGCUGAAGGUGAAUAGGAUGAUCCCAGUCAAAUUUUUCCAUUGACAGAUCCCUCUGAAUCUGCUCCAAAUUGACUUGUGGGUCAUAGAUACUCAACUGUGCCUUAUCCUCUAACAGCCUUUUGCAGACUUCGAUAGCUGGAGUUUCCCUCGUGUCACCAGUAUCCUUCUUAAAGGCAAAUCCCAGAAUAGCAAUCUUCUUGGCUGAGACUGUAUUGAACAUGGAAGAGACUACCCGGUUCACGAAUCGCAUCUUCUGGUAAUCAUUGAUCUUGAUGACUUGUUUCCAGUAGUUAGCAACUUCGGGCAGGCCAUUACAUUCACAAAUAUAGAUCAAAUUAAGUAUGUCCUUCUGGAAACAAGACCCACCAAAACCAACACUGGCAUUCAGGAACCUGUGUCCAAUUCUGGUGUCCUUGCCAAUGGCAUAAGAGACCUGUGAUACAUCUGCUCCUGUUGCUUCACACAGAGCUGACAUUGCAUUGACAGAAGAAAUCCUCUGUGCCAAGAAAGCAUUGGCUGCAAGCUUCGAAAGCUCGGCUGACCAGAGAUUAGUGCACAGGAUUCUGUCUGCUGGUACCCAAUGAGCAUAAACAUCUUUCAACGCAUGAAUUGCUUUUUGCCCUUGAGAUGUUUCUCUCCCACCUAUCAGAACCCUAUCUGGAUUCAAAAGGUCCUGAAUUGCAGUUCCCUCAGCAAGAAAUUCUGGAUUUGAUAGAAUCUGAUAGUCUAUUCCCUUGCUGUUGUGGGUCAGGAUCCUUUCAAUUGCCUCAGCAGUUUUCACGGGAACUGUUGAUUUCUCAACAACAAUCUUGUUGGAUUUUGAGACAUCAGCAAUCAUCCUGGCAGCACUUUCCCAGUAGGUCAAGUCUGCGGCUUUUCCAGCCCCGAGGCCUCGGGUUUUUGUCGGAGUGUUGACAGAAACAAAGAUUAUAUCUGCCUCUGCAACAUGUUUCUCCACAUUAGUGCUGAAGAACAGGUUCUUGCCUCUGCAUCGCUUGACUACAUCAUCAAGACCUGGCUCAUAAAUGGGGAGCUGGUCACUGUUCCAGGCUGAGAUUCGAGCAGUAGAUAUGUCGACAACAGCUACUUCAAUUGACGGACACUUGAGGGCAAUUACUGCCAUUGUUGGACCUCCAACAUAACCAGCUCCAAUGCAGCAGAUCUUCACCAUCUUCUUCAGUUAAUCUUACAACCUCAGCUGAAAUUAGAAAAUAAGAAUAUGCAAGUUAACCCUUAUGAUUCUUGUUCAUCAAGAAUUGAAAAGAAGAAAACUUGUGAAUUUCUGCUAAUUAUAUCAAUAUUUUAUGAUGUUUGAUCACCGUUACUUUACCAUAAUUGAAUUAUCCACAACACGGCAAGAUUUCACUUGGGAAAAGACAAAAAAAAAAAAAAGAGGAAAAUGUAAAGCCGGCUCUUUGUUAUACAUUCUUCUAUGAUAUUGACAGUAAUGAACAAUGAAUUCAAGAACUGAAAUCUUGAAUUUAUUUAAUAACUUGAAAAAACAUUAUAAUCUCGCAUGAGUUAAAAAAUGGAAGAGCAAGAUGAUUCACAUAUAAACAUGCAUACAUCAAUACACAAACAUGUAUCUCCAUAACCAUGAACAAGAAUCAUUUAUCCUAACACAAACAACUUAGUGUAUUAUACCUCUCCAAAUUUAACUUGUUGAAAACUACAAACCAAGAACAGAGAGAAAAAGAAACAAUAAAGAGAGAAGAUGUAAAUAUGAAACUGUGAUGAAGGUAAGAGGUGCUUAAAUACUCGGAAACCCAUGUGAGAUCUGCCUGUAACUUACAUUUUCCAAUUUUAUUUCUGUAUGUACUUUCUCAAAACCAAGCAAAGUCAGAUUCAAAAGCUGAACUGGAACAUUCAACUGAUUUCCAAACAGCUUACUUUCAGUAACAAACAAGGGAAACUCAUGUACACAUAUUUAUUUUUGUUUAAGUUAUUGUUUUGUUUUUAAAUAUAAUAUUAAUUGUAUAAUAAAAAAAAAAGCAGUAACUGAAAGAAAAAAAAAAAAAAAGAUUAAACUUAAUGAUGGGAGUGAAAUGAGUUGUGGAAGGAAACAAAAAGCUGUUGAUUGAUGUUAUGAAAAGUGUUGGUUGAUGAAUAUACAUACAAAUGGCUGAUUCUACCGGAUUUCAGUUCAUAAUAUUUUUUAGAAUAAAACAAUUUUUACUGUUUUCCUUUUUUUUUUUUUAAAUUUUGUUUCCGGUUGUUUUCCACAAAAUUAGUAUUUUAAUUUUUUGAGAAUAUAUAAGUCAAAUAAAUACAUUAAUUCAGCUCUUGUACCAAAGACAACAAGCAAGUAAAUUAUUUAAAAACUCUCACCAUGAUAUGUAUGCGUAAAUAUAUAUAUAUAUAUGUGUGUGUGUGUGUGUGUGUGUGUGUGUGUGUGUGUGUAUAUAUUGAAAUGUAGUAAUAAAAAGAAGCUUGUAAAGAGUCCAGAAAUAUAUAUAUUUAUUGAAACGUAGUAAUAAAAGAAAGCUUAUAAAGAGUCCAGAAACAACGUGCUUGGUGUUUGGCGGGUUUGAGUGAUAUCAAAGGCAGGAAAAAUAUGGAAGAUAUGUAUAUAUAUAUAUAUAUAUAUAUAUAUAAUAACUGUUAGAGUAUUUACAAAUAAAAAAGAAAUCAUUAUAUAAAGAAAUUGACUGUUCAUUGAUAAUAUCUUCAUUGUUAAGGAACAUCUUUAACAUGUUAUUAUUACCAGAGAAAAUGCCACAAAUCACCACCAAAAAAGUUUGCUAGCUAGCUGGGACAAGCUUCAAGUAAACUGCAAAUGGAUUAUUUUAUUCAAGAGAUUUAUAUAUAUACAUAUAUAUAUAUGUAUAUGUUUUUGGUUUUACAUCAUAUAUUCUCUGUAUGUUAUGUUGGAUGGUUUGUAAAAGUUAGAUUUAUAGUGUCUUUUCUUUGUACAUUUUUAUAAGAAAAUAUUUAUUAUUAAAUUCUAUCCUCACGAACAAUUUUGUUGAUAUAUACACAUAUUAUUCAUGUAUAUGAUUAUAUUACACGCACAUUCUAAAUUAUUUGUUAUAUUAUAAUUAGGAUUAAAAAGUUUUUUAAAAAAUGCCUGACUAAAUUUUUUCUUAAAGCCAAAAAAAAAAAAAAAAAGUGGGUGAAAGUAAAACAACAGGAUAAGAAAUAAGUCAAAAGAAUUUAAAUAUUAAAAAAAAAAAAAAAGGGCUAUAUUCUUGUGUAUACUUUAUAAAAAGAGAAUUAUUGAAUCCUAAAAUUGGACCUCUUCCUAUGAAUUAAUAAAGGACGGACCUCGUCUACCAGUAGUGAUGAGACGAGAUGGUGGAAUUGAAAUCUAUUUAUGAAGUCAAGACUAUUUACAUUCAUUGUGGGCGUGUGCCUAAUUUCAUAACCACAAAAGUUAGGUUCAACUUUGAAUCUACCUAAAAUACACUUCACUUCACAAUAAUAGUCUCUAUACACAUUCAAAUUAAUUUCUAAUGUUCUUUGCACUUGAGUAUACAUAUACACGUGUGUGUGUUCAACAUUGUAUUCCAGAUGAAAAGGUAUGUAAAUUUUGAAGCAAAAACGGUAUAAACAAAUUAUAAUAUAGUAUAGUAAUUAAGAUAGUUAAUCAAAAAAAUCUCCGAUUUAAAAGUUUAUAUAAGUUAAAAUUUUAUUAAAAAUAUUAUAAUUUUAACAUUUUGUAAAUAUAUUAUGAAUUAAUUAUGAUUCACUCAAUUAACGUACAAUAUAACUUUUAAUAUAUUAGUAGAAUUAUAAUAACUAAUUACGUUACUAUUAUUAUUCCGACAAACAAAAUAUAUUUUGCUAAAUGAAUUUUUUGAUAAUUUACGCGCAGAUUAACCUAUGUAGUUUUGUACGUGACAACUUUAGUUUUUUUUUUUUUUUUUAGUUUUUAUCAUUUUAUAUAAAUUUGCCUUUUUCUUUUUACUUUUUUUUUUUCUUUUUUUUUUUUCUCAUGUAGGAGUUAGAAUUAAUUCACGUUUAUCAGACUUCUUUCCAUGUGGGGUGGAAAGAAACAUCUGCAUUCAGCUACAAAGUUUAUUUUGCACUGCUUUAAUGAUUUCAUUAUUGCCUAUUAUAACAAAGCCAUCACUAAGCAUUGGUCAUUAAGGCAGGCGUAUUCUCAAAAUACUUGUUGUAUCUACAACAGUCACAAUAGGCGCCUGAACUAAAAUUAGCAAAACAAAUACAUAUUAAUAACUUAAAAAUUAAAAACGUUAUGUACGACAAGAAAAACUUAUUAAAAUUAUAAGUUAAUAUCAUAAAAUUUUGAAGUGUCCCAAGAGAAUUAUAGGAGAUUAAAUUGCAAAUAAGAUGAUAUUAUUAUAUACACGCGUGUAAACAAGAAGAGUAAGCGCCCAAAUCAAUGAAGCAACUAUAUGGUCCCACGUCAUUUGUUAGACUUCACAUCUACUAAAAAGAAAACUUCAAGCUUAUAAACUAUUCUACUCAGGAAGUAAAAAAGAUAUUAACAUACCCAAUACAAGAAUAUUUUUAUUUAUUUUUAAACUCAUAUACGUCUUAACAUACAUUUUUAAUAUAUUAAUAUAUAAAUAGAUGUUUUUACGCAUGCAGUAGGUGAAUUGGGGCAAGGCUCCGUUUAUCUACCUCACAAAAAUUUAUCGAGCCACGGGCAACUCCUGUUUCUAAUUAAUCAAGCGAGUUAGUUGACACCUCUCUUUUACUCUUGCAGAAGCUUCAAACUUAAUACAUAUUGGUGGUGUCAAAGAUUUACCGGAAUCCUGUUAGACUCAGAAAUUUGAGCAGUGAAAUCUGCAUUGCAUAGGAUACAAUAACCAACCAACCAACCAAAAAAAAAAAAAAAAGUUAUCUUGAUAACUACGGGGCGGUAGUAUAAAAGUUAGGGAUUCGAACUCGUUUUUGUGUUUUUAGCCACUAGGGGAGAAAAACUUGACAAUUUGCUUGUCAAAGAGAAUGUGCCAACAGACCUACAAAAUAUAACUCAAAAUUGAACUUCUCAAGGGGAAGAAAACAUGUAUCUAUUCUCAAAAUGAGUUGGCUAAGCUUUCCCCCUUCCAACCUUUAGGUUAGAAGAAAAGCAUGAACAUUAAUGAAUUGGUAGUAAAUACAAUAGAUUAUGCAUACAUGUUAAUGAACUGGUAGCAAAUCAAGUCAUCAACUCAUUGUAACUAUUUUAUUCAUUAAAAAAAUAUUCACGUUAAGAGAAAUAAUUUGUCCUGAUAAUUAUUUCAAAGUAAAUCACUUCAAAUUCCAUCACAACUUAUGGUUAAAAUUCCAUAAUAGUAUCACGAGAACUGAUCUACAUAUAAAUGUGCACAAGCAGAAAGGAACAUCUCUUAUGACAGACAAGAAUCAAGGACAGGUGAAUUGUUAGGAAACAAAAUCACCUACUCGGGUGCAUCUAUUGUAUUCAAUUAGAGAGAAAAUUUCAGAUUAAGAGAAGUACUAAGACAUGAUAGUUGUAUCAUACUAAAUCUCUUCAAACUACAUCCGUGACUGAUAGUUAAUACAUGUACAUGAACAAAGCAUAAAGGACUAUCUCAAUAUGACACAUAACAAGAAAGGCCAAGAUGUCUUUGGUUUUGUCCCCAGAACAUUAAAUUAAGCUUUUGUUUAUAUAUUUAUUGGAAGAAGGUGGAAACAUAGAUCCAGAAAUUCUGCCUAAAAAAAUAUUAUUAGAAUUUGAAUCGUUUGUGUCAUCUUUGACAUAACUCAAGAAUCCAUGUGGACAGCAUGCCAAAGACGUAGGAAACAAAGUAGUUUUCUAGUUAAUCAUGAAUAUAAUUAUAAUCCAUGACCCUCAUUGUUUACAAUGGAAGUAACUGUUAGUUUAAACACAAACCAUCGCAUACCCAUAGCAGCUCGGAACCAGAAAAACCAGACAACAAAAGAUGGGACAGGUUUCAGGGCAUGAAGAGGAGACACACAAACCUUUUAGCCCAGCACCAAAAGUUCAUGGUCAGGCACAGAAUCGAAUCUUGAGGCUGAGCCCUCACUAUGAUGGCGGCAUCUUUUAUGACUCAUUUGAGAUCCAAGCUGUGACCCAUCAACUAAACAAGGCUAUGCAGAGAUCCACUGGCUCAUCCUCCCCUGCUUUUCUCUGUUACUUGCAGUCCCCUUUGUACCGAAAAUGCCUCGAUCGCAUUUCCAAGGACACUGCAAAGACACCCAAGAGACUCUCCUGCUCGAAGCUCACCUCUGGAAGUCGCGUGAGUGUGCCAAGAAGAAAGGCAGCAACUGCAGGGCCAGUGACAAAGGGGUUUUUGGUGAGGCUGUGGAAGAAAGCCAAACGAGGACUCCUAUAGAAUCAAGCAUAAUAAAAGCAACUUGCCUGUAGGAAAAACCUAUAGAUGAUUAGUCACUAGCAAGCACAGAAGCAAUAAACUGUAAAUAAGUGAAUGCAUCCUCUAGUUUUUUAAUACAUACCUUUUCAAAAUAUUCAUGUCUAGACAAAAGACGACCUGUUCAGUUAUCUUGUCUCUUCUCCAUGUCCUGAUGUUUCGGAGUCAUGUAUUCUCUGGCACAAACUUUAUUCGGUAGUCUCCGGAGUCUUCAGGUAUCAAAUUAUUGCAUAACAUGAGUACAUUACUGCUAUACUUAAUUAGAGACAGAUAGCAAUNNNNNNNNNNNNNNNNNNNNNNNNNNNNNNNNNNNNNNNNNNNNNNNNNNNNNNNNNNNNNNNNNNNNNNNNNNNNNNNNNNNNNNNNNNNNNNNNNNNNNNNNNNNNNNNNNNNNNNNNNNNNNNNNNNNNNNNNNNNNNNNNNNNNNNNNNNNNNNNNNNNNNNNNNNNNNNNNNNNNNNNNNNNNNNNNNNNNNNNNNNNNNNNNNNNNNNNNNNNNNNNNNNNNNNNNNNNNNNNNNNNNNNNNNNNNNNNNNNNNNNNNNNNNNNNNNNNNNAUCGAUUGUCCCUGAGCAAGCCUUCGAGCACGAGAAAGCCCCACCUGGUUUCAUACAAAACAGCACUUCAAGGACAUAUUUAUCCAAAAAGUUGCAAGAAUUCAAAUUGAAAGAUAUCUAAAAAGAAGUUGAUAAGCUUGCCCCUUUGCUUCCUGAAAUGUUAGGUAUGAAGAAAUUAUAACUAUUAAAGAAAUCAAAGUCAUGAUCAAAUCAGAGAAAUUUAAAGCACAUUUAAUUUAAUUUAGUUUCCAUUUAUUUCCUAUUAUGUUUCCUGAGAAUUGGAAAUCUACCCCCAAAGAAUCCAAUGAGGAAACAUAAGUGGUUAAAACUUGAAAUAUAUAUUUUCAAGAUAACUUAACAAUUAAGUGAAAUAAUAGGGAAGGAUUAGAAUGGAAAUUUAACCAAACAGGACUCUAGUGCUUUUUCAAGGCAUAUAUCUCUUGGUGAACUUUCUUCUAAAUCAAUGUGGUCUUCUUACAAAUACAAUGUUAAUAUCAUUAAAUCAAAUAUUUUGUACAGCAUCAAUUGAGUUUUCUGGUUUCAGGCACAAGAUUAAACUUCACUUUAAGUGCACUGCCAUGUUCUGCUAAGUUACUAAGCAAACCCUGUAUCUUAAGUUACCACUUGAGUUAGAAACCAAGCCCACGUGUUUUAAAUAUUCAAAGGAUUUCCAUAAUAUCACCUGAAGUGUUCCAAGGUGCCACAUUCCUGAUAUGCUUACAAUCUCCAGAAUUUUAUCAUGCAUGGAUUGUGGGUCAAAGUUAUCAUAUGUUUCAUCCUCAUUCUGCCACAGGUCGACGCCACCCAUGUAGCUUCCGAUAUUUGCCACAAGUACUCCUUCCGCAUCCUGCAAAGAUUUAUUACAAAAACAUGAAUUGAAUAAGAUAUUUGACAAAUCAAAAGGCAAAUUAAAGAUAUAGAGUUACGAAGCAUCAACAACAUAAAUUCAUCUCAAGUCCAAAGCAAGGGAAAACCACUUCGAAGGGGGGGAAAGAUAAACUUCAGAAUGUACCCAAAAAACAGAUGUAAGGGUGCAAAAGUAAUGGGAAAAAGAAAAGCAAGCUGCAUGGAUUAUUCAUUUUGUUUAUACAGGCCUGAAACAACAAGAACCAGUGUAAUAAAGACACAACCUUAAGAAAAAAAAAAAUUAGCAAUUUGUAAAACAUGUGCUCGCACUUUUAAACAAAUUGCAUUACACAGAUUCUUCUCACCCAUCAAUUCUUCAAAAGCUUGAGUGGAAGUCAGUGGAGUUCUAAUCAACAGCUCCAUUAGAGUCUCAAAUGUGUAUCUAGAACUAGACUAUACUGACAUUUACAAACAAGUAGAGAAGAUUUCUCAUUCCUAAGUCAUUGUACCGACAUUUUCAAAGAACUAGAGAGGAUUUAUGAUUCCUGAAUCAUUUAUAACAUUUGGAUACUCACCUCAGGAACCUCUAUUUCAACACCAUCCACCUCCACUCUGACUUGCCAAGGGAAAUCUGCAAAUGUCCUAUCCAUUAUACUCUUAGCACCUUCUCUAGCAUAAAGAACUUUAUUCAUAAACUGCAGCAAAACAAGAGUGCUUAAGCUAAAGGAAAGUGGAUAGAGGAGAUGGGAUUACUUGAAAGAGACAAUAAUAUUCUGAGCUAGGCUGAGUACCUAGUUGAGUAGAAACUUCUCAAAUCAGACAAUGUGUGCACACGUAUGUGCUCCAUAUGAAAAAAGAUAUCAUCAAAAGAUUUUUCAUUUACCCUCACAGUGGAAGAUGAUCUACAGUGUUAUUAGUUGACGCACUCAAUGAAAAAGACUUUCAUGAACUACUUAAUAUUAGUUGCAUAGAUAUAAUGAAGAUUUGUCCAGCAUAGUUUAUUUUAUUGAUUUACCUUAAUGAUUACUUUUUUUGGGAUUCCAUACCUAACCCAAACUCCUCUCUGCCUUUAUCGCUUUAGCUAAUUCCCAAGAGCCCCAAAUAAUUAGAUAUAUGGACCAGUAAACUUGCAAAAUAUCACGAUAUAUAACAAGAAUUCCAAGUUUAUUACACCUUACAAUUUCUCUCUUCUUUUACGAAGAAAACAAUUUAUAAUUUAAUAAUGUUGUUUAUCUGAACAACUAACUACUACUUUUACUACACAUUUCUAUCUUAGAACUCCUUUCACUAAAACACGAACCCCAAGGAAUCUAGUCUGACAUCUAGUUAGAACUUAGAGGACAGCUGAUUAUGUUGCCUUGGCAUGAUACUCCGCUUUGGGAAGCAGUUAAAAUUUGUUAUAAUUACUAUUUGUUAAUACCUGAUUAUAAAACCUUUCUGGAUUUUCUUCCCUUAGAUUAUGAAUGUCUAGAGCAACCUUUGCAUCACAUCCAACCCCUGCAACAAAACUUACAAAACUUAGCAUCUAAAAAAGCACAAAAAAAUUAUUGUAAGACUGCUGGAUUGAUUGUAAGGGCUAAGGAACCAAUCAAACACCAGACCAUGAAAUCACCAUACAUGUUAAAAUGAUAUUUACCUCAUUGGAUCUGUUAUAUACCAAAACAUAUCCACCAUCUCACCAAAAGACAUACUACUUUUUGACCAUUACAAAUCAGUAAAGGUUGAAACUCCAUAUAAGCGAAGUUCAUAUUAAGCAUANNNNNNNNNNNNNNNNNNNNCCCUGUCUCUCCACAGAGCCCAAACCACCACCCCAGGAUAGUACUCUAGCUAGAUCAUUUCCUGUUCCAGCAGGGAGAAUGGCAACUGGAGGAGGAGAGACAAAGUUUUGCUUGUCUAUGGCAUUCAGAACCCAGCCAACAGUACCAUCUCCUCCACAUAUGAGGACUCUGAAGUGAGGCACUUUUCUGAACAGGAAAAGUCCCACUUCUGGUCCCUGUGCAGGGCUCAACUCAACCACCUGCAUGAAAUUUCAACAAGAACCAUAAAAAGCCAGAAGAGAGGUAUUGGUAAAGCCACCGCAGAACUGUACGUGAAACCAUUGAUAACAAAUUUAAAGCCUGCUUGUGUAUAAACCAGUUGAAAGAUAAAUGCUGUGCAAGUACAUUCAGACACACACACAACCUGACAAAUGACAGGAAAAAAGGGCAGAGGAAAAGAGGAUGGGAAACAAUGUAAAGCAUGUCAAAGAAAUAGGCAACUCUGAACACACUCAGAAUCAAUUAUGAGAUGAUUCCAAGUAAAAGCUGGGCACAAGCAAUACUCAUAAAAUUUCAUACAUUCGCAAUUUUCAUUAUACAACGGGCUCCAGGUAGAUUAUUCGUGGGAAACAACCUCAAUUAAGAUUAGAAGACACGACAACAUCCUCCAGAUUUUCUCCUAUUAGAAAAAGAUACUAUUAAUUAUAGAUAAUUUCCUUGGAAAAAAAAAAGCUAAAUAAAGUGAACUGAAACAAAGCUCAGUGGCUACAAGAUAACACUACAAGCUCAGUGGCUACAACACUUAUUGGAGGGAAAGAUUGUUUGCCUAACUAAAUUUAAAAAGCAAUAUAAGAUUUGAAUAAACAACUACUAUUACACCCAAAUACGCAAGAUUGACAGGGGAAGCAAAAACCUCCAUCAACACAGAUUUUAUUCAUGAUGAUACCAAGCCGUUUGCAGAUUCAGCUUCCAUAUCUAGUUCGGGAAGAUCAGAUUCGAAGAAUGUUGAGUGCAGAGCUCUGACCUUAGCUUGUACACCACCAGACAUCACAGAAGUAUAUGAUUACAGGUCUCCAUAGUGCUUUUACAAAGAUAAC